CCUACGGGUGGCAGCAGUGAGGAAUAUUGGUCAAUGGGCGCGAGCCUGAACCAGCCAAGUCGCGUGAGGGAGUACUGCCCUAUGGGUUGUAAACCUCUUUUGUCGGGGAGCAAAAGCCGGACGUGUCCGGCUGUGAGAGUACCCGAAGAAAAAGCAUCGGCUAACUCCGUGCCAGCAGCCGCGGUAAUACGGAGGAUGCGAGCGUUAUCCGGAUUUAUUGGGUUUAAAGGGUGCGCAGGCGGAUUUUUAAGUCAGCGGUAAAAUCGUGGGGCUCAACCCCAUCCAGCCGUUGAAACUGGGGAUCUAGAGUGUGCGAGAGGUAUGCGGAAUGCGUGGUGUAGCGGUGAAAUGCAUAGAUAUCACGCAGAACCCCGAUUGCGAAGGCAGCAUACCGGUGCACAACUGACGCUCAGGCACGAAAGCGUGGGUAUCGAACAGGAUUAGAUACCCUUGUAGUC
rnacentral:rRNA from 1 species